AUGCUAGCGGCCCCUCCCAGCGGUGGUCACUGCCAGUGUCAGUCCCUCCCGCCGCCGUGCAGUGCCGCCCUAUCUUGCUGCAGCCGCCGCACCCGCUCCAGCGCCCCCAAUUUGCGCUCGGGAGCGAGGAGCGGCCAACGGCCCCGCCCCGCUGCCGCCAUCGUCACCGCAGUGCUCUCCGGUCGCCAUUCGUUACCGAAACUUUACAGCACCCGCGACGUUUCCGGGACUCCGCGGCGGCUGCGCGGAGGCGGCCCAGGGGCGGCGCGCGGCUGCUCGGGUGCGCGGGGCUCUUUUCGGCAGCCACACUGCUGGGCCUCGAAAGAUGACCGUCUGAGGGAGAUUCAGAGCACUGCCAGAGUGCAGGAAACUGCUGUCCUUGCUGUACCUUCUGUUCUGUUAAUGGUAUGGACACUGUGAGUUGCUUCUAGAGAGCUACACCCUCACUUCUGGAUCAGCACAUGAAGGCCAAGGAACUGCCAGUGUUCCGUGUCCAUUUUAAUUGAGGUAUAAAUACUAUACCCUAACAUUCUCCUGUUUUACCUUGGCAGCAUCUGGAGAGUUUGGUUGUCACAGCUGAGUGGGGAGUGCUACUGGCAUUGGGUGGGUAUAGGCCAGGGAUGCUGUGAGCAUCCUAUACCUCCCAGGACAGCCUCCCCACCUCCACCAACAAAUUAUCCAGCCCUAAAUGUCUACAGUGCCACAGAUAAGAAACCCUGGACCCUCGGGUACACAGAUUUGACUGGAGAGGAGAAAUCAUAUUCAGGGAUAAUUGGGAUUUGUAUUGCAGUUAGUGCAGAGCUUGUGUGUGGAAGGCCUUGGACACUGGACUAAUCUAAGAAGUUGGGUGGGGAUGAAGGGGCUUUAGAUCCUGGAAACCAUUAAAAGCCAUUGAACAGGCCAGGCGUGGUGGCUCACGCCUGUAAUCCCAGCACUUUGGGAGGCCGAGACAGGCGGAUCACGAGGUCAGGAGAUCGAGACUAUCCUGGCUAACACGGUGAAACCCCGUCUCUACUAAAAAAUACAAAAAACUAGCCGGGAGAGGUGGCGGGUGCCUGUAGUCCCAGCUACUCUGGAGGCUGAGGCAGGAGAGUGGCAUAAACCCGGGAAGUGGAGCUUGCAGUGAGCUGAGGUCUGGCCACUGCACUCCAGCCUGGGCCACAGAGCGAGACUCCGUCUCAAAAAAAAAAAAAAGCCUUUGAACAGGUGCUUUAGAAAGAUGAAACUGGCAUCUGUCUUAAGGAUGGAUGAUAACAGGCACCAGGAAACUGGCCUUUGGGGCUGUGACCAGAUUUGGCAUACAGCCACACCCAUUCAUUUAUAGGUUUUCUGUGGCUGCUAUGAUGGUUAAUUUUAUAUGUCACCUUGGUUAGGUCAUGGUAUUCUGUUUUUUUUUUUUUUAGACAGAGUCUCGCUUUGUUGCCCAGGCUGGAGUGCAGUGGCGUGAUCUCUGCUCACUGAAACUUGCGCCUCCCAGGUUCAGGCAAUUCUCCUGCCUCAGCCUCCUGAGUAGCUGGGGCUACAGGUGCAUGCCACAUGCCCACCUAAGUUUUGUAUUUUUAGCAGAUACAAGGUUUCACCGUAUUGGCCAGGCUUGUCUAAAACUCCUGACCUCAUGAUCCAUCUACCUCCAGCUCCCAAAGUGCUGGGAGUACACGUGUGAGCCAGCAUGCCUGGCCUAGGUGAUGGUAUUCAGAUAUUUGGUCACGUACUUUGGAGUGCUGCUGAAGGCAUUUUUUAGAUGAAGUAAAAACUUAACAUCAGUAGACAUUUAGUGAAGCACAUGACCCGUGUAAUGUGGGUGGACCUCAUCCAAUCAGUUGAAGGCCUUAAGAAAAAGACUGAGGUCCUCCAAAGAGAAGAGAAUUCUAUCAGUGGCCUGCCCUAGGAUUAGAGACUGUAACAUCUACACUUCCCCUGGGUCUUUGGCCUGCCCUGUAAAGUCUGGACUUGCCAGCUUCCACAAUUUUGUGAGCCAAUUCCUUAAAAUCUGUCCAUCCAUCCAUCCAUCCAUCCAUCCAUCCAUCCAUCCAUCCAUCCAUCAUCCAUCCAUCCAUCCACAUACCUACCCAUGUGUCCAUCCAUGCACACAUGCACAAACCCUAUUGGCACUGUUUCUCUGGACAGCCCUGAUUAACAAUGUUGCUUUCUUGCCACAGCAGCCAAGUUGAAUAUUUACCUGUAUAUAGAGAAAAAAGGCCAGGCAUUGGAUUUGAUAAAUGAAGUCCGUCCAUGGAAAUGAGGAGUGCUCAGUGCUUCUUGGAGUUAAACAGAGAAACCGUAAAAGCCUAGAGGGCUCAGGAUGGUGAUACCAUGGUCUUUCAUUCUUGUGUAUUUUGCAAAUUUGGCCCAUUGGCAGGCAGAUUUAAUGUCUCCAAUCCAGAUGGUGUUUUAGGGAAUGGCUUGCCUGGCUUGUGGGUUGAAAUGUUCUCUCCUCCAGUGUGGCUUCUGCAGUAUCAUCUCACCUGAUGACGACAAUAAGUGGAAGCCAUGUGAUGUGACCAUCUGAGACGCAAGUUAAUUAGGUUUUAUCAGAAAAGGCAACCUUGGCUGGGUGUGAUGGCCCAUGCCUGUAAUUCUAGCACUUUGGAGGAUGAGGCUGGUGGAUCACCUGAUCUCAGGAGUUCGUGACCAGCCUGGUCAACAUGGCAAAACCCCAUCCCUACUAAAAAUAGGAAAAUCAGCUAGUCAUGGUGGCAUGUGCCUGCAGUUCCAGCUACUGAGGAGGAUGAGGUGGGAGAAUUGCUUGAACCUGUGAGGCAGGGGUUGCAGUGAGCUGAGAUCAUGCCACUGCAUGUUAGCCUAGGUUACACAGUGAGACUGUGUACCGCCCCCCCACCAAAAAAAAAACAACAACAACAAAAAAGGCAAACUUAACACUUGUGGGAUAUGUUGUGGGUGAAGACAAAGACACUAGUAUCCUGUGAUUUUAUUUUAUUUUAUUUUAUUUUAUUUAUUUAUUUUUUUGAGACGGAGUCUCGCUCUGUCACCCAAGCUGGAGUGCAGUGGCCGGAUCUCAGCUCACUGCAAGCUCCGCCUCCCGGGUUCACGCCAUUCUCCUGCCUCAGCCUCCCGAGUAGCUGGGACGACAGGCGCCGCCACCUCGCCCGGCUAGUUUUUUUGUAUUUUUUAGUGGAGACGGGGUUUCACCGUGUUAGCCAGGAUGGUCUCGAUCUCCUGACCUCGUGAUCCGCCCGUCUCGGCCUCCCAAAGUGCUGGGAUUACAGGCUUGAGCCACCGCGCCCGGCCAUAUCCUGUGAUUUUAAAUAGGAGAUUAAAAAAUUCUGCCUGUGGAGGAUGGGUUGUCAUUUGUCAGCCAAAUGUAGGUUAAAUACGUUUUAUUUCUGACCCUUUUGUACACAUUUUAAUCAGUUUUCAGCUUGCAAUUACAGUUGGUACUUCUUAGUUCUCAGUGAAUGGUGUAGAGAAAUUGUUUGCAACGUCAUACUGUUUUUUUUUUUUUUUUUUUUUUUUUUUUUUUUUUUUUU
rnacentral:lncRNA from 1 species